GACUACAUGGUAGAUAGGCCCGAGGUGUAAGAGCAGCAAUGCUUUUAGCUUACGGGUACUAAUAAGUCGAGGGCUUGACCAUAA
rnacentral:rRNA from 1 species